rnacentral:rRNA from 1 species
GAUGAACGCUGGCGGCGUGCCUAAUACAUGCAAGUCGAGCGAACGGACGAGAAGCUUGCUUCUCUGAUGUUAGCGGCGGACGGGCGAGUAACACGUGGAUAACCUACCUAUAAGACUGGGAUAACUUCGGGAAACCGGAGCUAAUACCGGAUAAUAUUUUGAACCGCAUGGUUCAAAAGUGAAAGACGGUCUUGCUGUCACUUAUAGAUGGAUCCGCGCUGCAUUAGCUAGUUGGUAAGGUAACGGCUUACCAAGGCAACGAUGCAUAGCCGACCUGAGAGGGUGAUCGGCCACACUGGAACUGAGACACGGUCCAGACUCCUACGGGAGGCAGCAGUAGGGAAUCUUCCGCAAUGGGCGAAAGCCUGACGGAGCAACGCCGCGUGAGUGAUGAAGGUCUUCGGAUCGUAAAACUCUGUUAUUAGGGAAGAACAUAUGUGUAAGUAACUGUGCACAUCUUGACGGUACCUAAUCAGAAAGCCACGGCUAACUACGUGCCAGCAGCCGCGGUAAUACGUAGGUGGCAAGCGUUAUCCGGAAUUAUUGGGCGUAAAGCGCGCGUAGGCGGUUUUUUAAGUCUGAUGUGAAAGCCCACGGCUCAACCGUGGAGGGUCAUUGGAAACUGGAAAACUUGAGUGCAGAAGAGGAAAGUGGAAUUCCAUGUGUAGCGGUGAAAUGCGCAGAGAUAUGGAGGAACACCAGUGGCGAAGGCGACUUUCUGGUCUGUAACUGACGCUGAUGUGCGAAAGCGUGGGGAUCAAACAGGAUUAGAUACCCUGGUAGUCCACGCCGUAAACGAUGAGUGCUAAGUGUUAGGGGGUUUCCGCCCCUUAGUGCUGCAGCUAACGCAUUAAGCACUCCGCCUGGGGAGUACGACCGCAAGGUUGAAACUCAAAGGAAUUGACGGGGACCCGCACAAGCGGUGGAGCAUGUGGUUUAAUUCGAAGCAACGCGAAGAACCUUACCAAAUCUUGACAUCCUUUGACAACUCUAGAGAUAGAGCCUUCCCCUUCGGGGGACAAAGUGACAGGUGGUGCAUGGUUGUCGUCAGCUCGUGUCGUGAGAUGUUGGGUUAAGUCCCGCAACGAGCGCAACCCUUAAGCUUAGUUGCCAUCAUUAAGUUGGGCACUCUAAGUUGACUGCCGGUGACAAACCGGAGGAAGGUGGGGAUGACGUCAAAUCAUCAUGCCCCUUAUGAUUUGGGCUACACACGUGCUACAAUGGACAAUACAAAGGGCAGCGAAACCGCGAGGUCAAGCAAAUCCCAUAAAGUUGUUCUCAGUUCGGAUUGUAGUCUGCAACUCGACUACAUGAAGCUGGAAUCGCUAGUAAUCGUAGAUCAGCAUGCUACGGUGAAUACGUUCCCGGGUCU